UACGUAGGGGGCAAGCGUUAUCCGGAUUUACUGGGUGUAAAGGGAGCGUAGGCGGUGAUGCAAGUCAGUAGUGAAAGCCCGCAGCUCAACUGCGGGACUGCUUUUGAAACUGUAUGACUAGAUUGCAGGAGAGGUAAGUGGAAUUCCUAGUGUAGCGGUGAAAUGCGUAGAUAUUAGGAGGAACACCAGUGGCGAAGGCGGCUUACUGGACUGUAAAUGACGCUGAGGCUCGAAAGCGUGGGGAGCAAACAGG
rnacentral:rRNA from 1 species